CCCUUAGAUGUCCUGGGCUGCACGCGCGCUACACUGAUGUGUCCAGUAAGCACCUAACCUAUUCCGAGAGGAGCGGGUAACCUUAGCAAAGCACAUCGUGAUGGGGAUAGAUUAUUGCAAUUAUUAAUCUUGAACGAGGAAUUCCUAGUAAACGCAGAUCAUCAAUCUGCAUUGAUUACGUCCCUGCCCUUUGUACACACCGCCCGUCGCACCUACCGAUUGGAUGGUCCGGUGAAGCCUCGGGAUUGUGGUUCUUGCCGCUUUAUUGUGGCGUGACCGCGAGAACUUGUCUAAACCUUAUCAUCUAGAGGAAGGUGAAGUCGUAACA
rnacentral:rRNA from 1 species